rnacentral:rRNA from 1 species
AACGCGAAGAACCUUACCUAGACUUGACAUCUCCUGAAUUACUCGUAACGGAGGAAGCCCUUCGGGGCAGGAAGACAGGUGGUGCAUGGUUGUCGUCAGCUCGUGUCGUGAGAUGUUGGGUUAAGUCCCGCAACGAGCGCAACCCUUGUCGUUAGUUGCUACCAUUAAGUUGAGCACUCUAGCGAGACUGCCGCGGUUAACGCGGAGGAAGGUGGGGAUGACGUCAAAUCAUCAUGCCCCUUAUGUCUAGGGCUACACACGUGCUACAAUGGUCGGUACAAAAAGAUGCAAUACCGUGAGGUGGAGCAAAACUUAUAAAACCGAUCCCAGUUCAGAUUGCACUCUGCAACUCGAGUGCAUGAAGGUGGAAUCGCUAGUAAUCGCAGAACAGCAGGCUGCGGUGAAUACGUUCCCGGGCCUUGUACACACCG